rnacentral:rRNA from 1 species
GGAUCCAGACUUUGAUCAUGGCUCAGGAUGAACGCUAGCUACAGGCUUAACACAUGCAAGUCGAGGGGAAACGACAUCGAAAGCUUGCUUUUGAUGGGCGUCGACCGGCGCACGGGUGAGUAACGCGUAUCCAACCUGCCCACCACUUGGGGAUAACCUUGCGAAAGUAAGACUAAUACCCAAUGACGUCUCUAGAAGACAUCUGAAGGAGAUUAAAGAUUUAUCGGUGAUGGAUGGGGAUGCGUCUGAUUAGCUUGUUGGCGGGGUAACGGCCCACCAAGGCAACGAUCAGUAGGGGUUCUGAGAGGAAGGUCCCCCACAUUGGAACUGAGACACGGUCCAAACUCCUACGGGAGGCAGCAGUGAGGAAUAUUGGUCAAUGGACGAGAGUCUGAACCAGCCAAGUAGCGUGCAGGAUGACGGCCCUAUGGGUUGUAAACUGCUUUUAUAAGGGAAUAAAGUGAGUCUCGUGAGACUUUUUGCAUGUACCUUAUGAGUAAGGACCGGCUAAUUCCGUGCCAGCAGCCGCGGUAAUACGGAAGGUCCGGGCGUUAUCCGGAUUUAUUGGGUUUAAAGGGAGCGUAGGCCGGAGAUUAAGCGUGUUGUGAAAUGUAGAUGCUCAACAUCUGCACUGCAGCGCGAACUGGUUUCCUUGAGUACGCACAAAGUGGGCGGAAUUCGUGGUGUAGCGGUGAAAUGCUUAGAUAUCACGAAGAACUCCGAUUGCGAAGGCAGCUCACUGGAGCGCAACUGACGCUGAAGCUCGAAAGUGCGGGUAUCGAACAGGAUUAGAUACCCUGGUAGUCCGCACGGUAAACGAUGGAUGCCCGCUGUUGGUCUGAAUAGGUCAGCGGCCAAGCGAAAGCAUUAAGCAUCCCACCUGGGGAGUACGCCGGCAAC